rnacentral:rRNA from 1 species
UACGAGUGCCCCAAGCGUUAUCCGGAAUUAUUGGGCGUAAAGAGCUCGUAGGCGGCUUGUCGCGUCGGCUGUGAAAACCUGGGGCUCAACCCCGGGCCUGCAGACGAUACGGGCAAGCUAGAAUUCGGUAGGGGAGACUGGAAUUCCUGGGUGUAGCGGUGAAAUGCGCAGAUAUCAGGAGGAACACCGGUGGCGAAGGCGGGUCUCUGGGCCGAUAUUGACGCUGAGGAGCGAAAGCGUGGGGAGCGAACAGG